UACAGAGGGUGCGAGCGUUAAUCGGAAUUACUGGGCGUAAAGCGCACGUAGGCGGCUUUGUAAGUUAGAGGUGAAAGCCUGGUGCUCAACACCAGAACUGCCUUUGAUACUGCAUCGCUUGAAUCCAGGAGAGGUGAGUGGAAUUCCGAGUGUAGAGGUGAAAUUCGUAGAUAUUCGGAAGAACACCAGUGGCGAAGGCGGCUCACUGGACUGGUAUUGACGCUGAGGUGCGAAAGCGUGGGGAGCAAACAGG
rnacentral:rRNA from 1 species